CCUACGGGGGGCAGCAGUGAGGAAUAUUGGUCAAUGGCCGGAAGGCUGAACCAGCCAUGCCGCGUGAAUGUCAGUGCCCUAUGGGCGUUAAACUUCUUUUGUGCGGGAGCAAUAAUGGUCACGUGUGGCCAGACGAGAGUACCGUACGAAUAAGCAUCGGCUAACUCCGUGCCAGCAGCCGCGGUAAUACGGGGGAUGCAAGCGUUAUCCCGAUUUAUUGGGUUUAAAGGGUGCGUAGGCUGUGAGGUAAGUCAGCGUUGAAAUGCCCCCGCUCAACGGGGUGAAGUGCACUUGAUACUGCCUGGCUGGAAUGCGGAUGCCGUGGGAGGAAUGUGUGGUGUAGCGGUGAAAUGCAUAGAUAUCACACAGAACACCGAUUGCGAAGGCAUCUCACGAAUCCGCGAUUGACGCUGAUGCACGAAAGCGUGGGUAGCAAACAGGAUUAGAUACCCGAGUAGUC
rnacentral:rRNA from 1 species